UACAGAGGGUGCGAGCGUUAAUCGGACUUACUGGGCGUAAAGCGUGCGUAGACGGUUAUGUAAGUUAGGUGUGAAAGCCCCGGGCUCAACCUGGGAAUUGCAUUUAAGACUGCAUAGCUAGGGUGCGGAAGAGGGAAGCGGAAUUUCCGGUGUAGCGGUGAAAUGCGUAGAUAUCGGAAGGAACAUCAGUGGCGAAAGCGGCUUCCUGGUCCAGCACCGACGUUCAGGCACGAAAGCGUGGGGAGCAAACAGG
rnacentral:rRNA from 1 species